CUCUCUCUGCCCUGCCCGUGAGGUUAUUAACGCCCCUGCGGAAUAAUUCAUUGCACGGGCAACUGUUUCGAUCGUGGUGUGCUGCCCCAUUACGCGGGAAUUGCCUGAAGCGAUCUACAGAAGCCCACCUAUUUGGGAAACUCGCUGUGAGGCCCCGAACCAAACGACAAGGCGGAGAGACU
rnacentral:other from 1 species